GGGGUUGCAGCUCAGUGGUAGAGCACUUGCCUUGCAUGCAUGAGGCAUCCUCAGCACCA
rnacentral:tRNA from 1 species